rnacentral:rRNA from 1 species
GAUGAACGCUAGCGGCAGGCCUAAUACAUGCAAGUCGUACGGCAACACAGUUGCGAGCAAUCGCAACCGGUGGCGAGUGGCGCACGGGUGAGUAACGCGUAUGUAACCUACCCUUCUCCGGGACAUAACUCCGCGAAAGCGGUGCUAAUAUCCCAUACCAACUCAUCAAGACAUCUUCUUGAGUUGAAAGCAGCAAUGCGGUGAAGGAUGGGCAUGCGUCCCAUUAGCCGGUUGGUGAGGUAAUGGCCCACCAAGGCUACGAUGGGUAGGGGUUCUGAGAGGAAAGCCCCCCACACUGGUACUGAGACACGGACCAGACUCCUACGGGAGGCAGCAGUAAGGAAUAUUGGGCAAUGGUCGAAAGACUGACCCAGCCAUGCCGCGUGCAGGAUGAAGGCCCUAUGGGUUGUAAACUGCUUUUAGCCGGGAAUAAACACCCGUUUUAUAACGGGCCCGAAGGUACCGGCUGAAUAAGCAUCGGCUAACUCCGUGCCAGCAGCCG